rnacentral:rRNA from 1 species
GUCGAGAAUCUUCCACAAUGCGCGAAAGCGUGACGGAGCGACACCGCGUGAUGGAUGAAGUCCUUCGGGGCGUAAACAUCUUUUAUAAAGGAGGAAAUUUUUGACGUUACUUUAUGAAUAAGGGGCUCCCAAUCUCGUGCCAGCAGGAGCGGUAAUACGAGAGCCUCAAGCGUUAUCCGGAAUCGUUGGGCGUAAAGGGUGCGUAGGUGGUUUGAUUAGUCUCCCGUUAAAACUUCGAGCUUAACUCGAAAAGAGCGGGGGAAACGGUCAAACUAGAGUAUGUGAGAGGUGUGUGGAACUCAUGGUGUAGGGGUGAAAUCCGUUGAUAUCAUGGGGAACACCAAAAGCGAAGGCAGCACACUGGCACAUCACUGACACUGAGGCACGAAACCUAAGGUAGCGAAUGGGAUUAGAAACCCCUGUAGUCC